rnacentral:miRNA from 12 species
CCUCUGCUCUGGAGCCAGGCUGGGAGAGCUGGGAAUGUUCACCUGGAGAAGGGAAGGCUCCAGGGAGAGCUCAGAGCC